UUGAAUUAUAUAAAUCAUAAAUAUAAAAUAAUAUUUUAUAGAGUAUAUGUAUUAUUUUUUUAAUAUAUGUAUUAUUUAUAUAAUAUAAAUAAUUAUUUAUAAAUAUAUGUAAAAAAUUCGGUUCUACGGUUUGGUCCGGAUCAGUACAAGACGGAUCGGUUCUGGUACGGUUAUGGUAGGGUUUUUGCUAAAGAACCAGUACCAUACCGUAAUAGUAAAAAAAUUCAGAUCGGUUCAAUUCGGUUAUAAAAACUUUCGAUUUUUUCGGUUCUGGUACUUUUUGGUAUUGUUAUUCGGUUCAGACGGGAAUCAUCGAGAUCCAUGCUCAGCCCUAGUCUAGAUAUGUAAAUAUCCUUGUCAAAAUCUCACUGGAAGCUAUCAGAUCGAUGCCGAAAAGCUUCCGCUAUGGUGAGUCAUGGAUACAGCUUCCGGCGAUCAAAAAAUAGAAGGAAAGGGUUGUCCUUAGGUUUUUGAUGGUGAGGAGUCCAUUUUCGAUGUUAGAUAUUCAAAAUAAGGCCGACAAGAGGCUGACCCAAUGGUGGCUGCCGAAGUGCAGCUCCUCCACCUACUUCUUUGAGUAUUUUGGCAAGCUAAAGGAGAAAGAGGGUGAUGCCACAAAAGGAGGAGGAAAUGAUGGUGUUUUACUGGCUGGAUGGUAAAGGGGAAAUGAUGAAAAUGGUGGUAUGAGGGAGGGAGUGGUUAUACAGCAUGGGAGAGGAAGAAGGAGAAGGUGGGUGAGACUUUUUUAGUUUAUUAUUUUAUAAAAGAUUACAUUUUGGUCAUUCUAAUUAAGCCUAGCUACCAAAAAUCAUUAUUCUUAAUAUUUUUAUCCACUUUCCUCAUAUAUAUAUAUGAAUAUGUAUACAUCUAUAAUUAUUUAUAUCCCAAACUAACCAACUUUAAUUUAGGUUCAUUAUGUAUUUUAAAAAUAAAUGUACAUGUUAGAAUUUUGACUCAUUUAUUUAAAAUAAAAAAAACUACAUUUACAACUCAUCAAAAUACUCCCGAAAAUAAAUAAAAUUAAAAUCCAAAAAUUACGAGUAUUACAAUAAACAAAUAAGGAAGUUGACUUCCAAAUCCAUCUAUGAAUAUGUAGUGUAAAAGCUUCUUUAUGAAAUCUGAGAAACGCCAGUCAUUAGUAAAAGUGUACCAGUGAUUACCCGGGUGGCGAUUUCCAUCUUCGUGCUAGUCUUAGUGACUAGUUAGUUUGUUUCCAAUUAGGUUGAAAAGCCUUAUAGUAUCGUAGUCGCUAAAGACACUUGGGUGCGUGCCCGAAACCGCCACCAGUAGUUUUCUAAAAUUCUACCACAUGCUUUAUUACAUUUUACUACGAGUUCUAUAUUUCCUCACAUUGUUAAUUUUUACCCUAAAGACAUGCAUAUAUUACAUAACUAUCACAUUGUCAGUACCCCUUUUCUAGAUCUAGAUAUUGAGGGAAAAAUAGAAAAUCCUACGAUGAAAGUUACUGCCUUCUUGGGUCUUGGGAGGUGAAGGACAGAUGAAUCUGAGGCAAGGAUCAAGGUUAAUCCAACUAGUAUUACCUUUUUGAAAUCAAUUUGGACCUAAUUAUCAGAAAAAUUAAGUUUGAGGGUCAAAACGGUAGUUUUUACAAAUUCAGGGACCUAAUUGCAAGUUUUUCAUAAACGUUUAUGGUGUAGAGCCAAUCGGCUAUAUAUAGAGCUGAUUUGGAUAUAUGUAGAGCCGAUUUGGUUGUAAGUAGAGCACAUCAGCUGUACAUAAAGCCAAUCGGCUCUACAUAGUGCCGACUGAUAUUUUUGCAAUCUGACGUUUUAUUUUAUGAAAAUUUCACAUCCAGAUACAGGUUCUAGAAGGUUUCCUUGAUGAUAAUCAUUGUUCUAUCAAUAAUAUUUAUAUUUUAAAAAUAAAGUGAGAUAUUUAUCGAUAUAUUUCUAAAAUCUAUCGUUUUCUCUAGGGUUUCACUUGAAACCCUACCUCUAUAAAUAAAAAGAGGUGUUUAGGAUUUUGAGGGGGGGUCAAUAAUUAAAAUCGGUCGUAAGUGGUAUUAAGACUUGAGAGACACUAAGAAAGAAAGAAUAGGGAGAAAAUCCAGAGAGAAGAAAAGGAAAAGUAUUGUUGUUCUUAGUCGUCGUUAGAAGAUCCAAGCCACUAAAGAAUGAACCAUUUUAGGAAACAAGCCACUGAAGAAGGAUCAUUUUUGGAAACUAUUUCUAAAUAAACAGAAGGUUUGUCUACAUUAGAUCCAACACUGGAUUCCUAUCCAAUCUCUGAUUCAACUGCAUCCUCAUCGUUUGAGACUCGUAGAUCUAACAUUCAUGGUGACAACCUGAGGGUUCCUUCUACCAUACAUCUGUAUUCAUUAUAAAAUCAGUUUUUUCAUUCCUUAUCUUAUUUUUUUUAUUAUUUGCUCUUACAAAUUAGGAUUUGAUCUAUGAUAAAUAUGAUUAGAUUAGAUUUUUCUUUAUAAAUAUGCAUGUUAAUAAGGUUUUGAAUAUGAUAAUAAGAAAUUAGGGUUUUGAAAUCUGACAUUUUGCCAAUUAAGGUUUUAGAUUUAAUUAGAAAUAUGUUAUAGGAUUUAUAUUUAGAUUUAUUUGUCAUUAUGAUUAAGUAAUUAAACCUAUUAAGCAUGAUUCUUUUGUUCUGAUUUGCCUUCUAUUAGUUAAUGAUAUUUAGGGUUCUUAGUAAUUUAGGAUUUUGAUUGCUUAAUCGACUUUUGUUUCUUUAUUUUUUUAUGUAUUUUAAUCUAUUUUCUCUCAUUCUAAUUGAUUUUUAACGUCUAUGCAUGUAAAAUUCAGCUCUGGCGAUGUGAAAUUGUAUUAAUGAUUGAAGAAAUCAACUUGGGGACCCUAGAGCUGAUAGGCUCAAUGAAGAGCCAAUUGGCUCUAUAUUAAACCGAUUGGCUCUUCAUAUAGAGCUUAUUGAUUGUUCAAGCCAGACACCCAUUUUUGUGUAAUUUUGGUGAUUUUUUGUGUACUUUUAGCCUCUGUAUAGUUUUUAGGUCUUUCUUUCCGCAAUCGUAGUUGUAGGCCGAGUUGUAAUAAUUAAGUUUUACUUUAUGCUUUAUUUUGUUUAUUUUUGUUCAUUGUAUGUUAAUCAAAUAUAUGAUUAUAUGAUUGAUUGAUUAAAAAUGGGCCACAUAGACUUAGACUAAAAAACUGAUCCAACAUGAAUCUAGUAGUCUAAUAGGCUAAUCAACUUUAACUGGGCCUAAAACCCUAAAAUCCAAGUAGACUAGCGAGCCUUGGCAUGUUUAGUUAGGGCUUGAACUUAGUUAGGGUUAAGAUCACAAUGAACUGGCCUUCUUAAAAUAAGUAUUCCAUUAAGCUUAAAGGUUGAAAUUCAUGAGCAUAAUUGGCAAUUGGGCUAGAUUAGAUGAGCCUUGUAUAUAAUUGACUAGUAAGCUAGAUUAACAACCUAAUAUGGGCUGGGUUUGAAUAAAAUGGGCUAGAUUUAGGUGUAUUAUGUGUUGUUUUGGCAUGUUUAUGUAUAAAUUGCUUGCAUUUAUAGGGAAUAAUUUGUUAAACAAUUAAAUUAAAGACUAAUACACACAAAUAAGGAAGUUGGCUUCUCGAUCUAUCUCUGGAGUCUAUGGCAUAAGCUUCCUUAUAGAAUCUGUUCAUUAGUAAAAGAGUCCCAGUGAUUCCCCGGGCGGUGACUCCUAUCUCUACACUAGUCUCAGUGAUGAGUUAGCGUGCUCCUAAUUAGGUUGAAAAGCCUUAAGUGCCGUAGUCACUAAAGAAACUUUGGUGCACACUCGAAACCAUCGCCUACACCCAUUCAAGUAAAAGAGUAGGAAAAUUAAAGGCGUACUCGGCCCGCACUUUCGCCUUGCAGUGUGCUGACACGGUCACUAGGAUCAGGGUCUUCAUCCAGUCACAAGGGAACUAAUGAUCACGCUGCAGCCCCACUACAGUCGGCUCUUCUGGGACCACCAUUAGGUGCCCGUGCACCCUCGACAGUUGCCAGCUUGAGUCCUAACACACCAAAAGCUAGUUAGCAUCUUGAGCUCUGUCCACCAUUUUCUUUUGAAAAUCUUCAUAAAAUGAGGACUUUAGAAAGUAUUAGAAGUUGAGAUAAAAGAUAAAUGCUAGGAGCAAAGAAUGUGACAUAUGAUGGUGAUGUCUGACUCUUACAUAGGCUAUCGGGAACAUCCUCACCUCGCACGAGCUCAGUUUUGACCUCGUGCAAGGACAAGCUUAAGUUAUCAUAAGCUCAGGCCUGAGCAUACACGAGGACAUGUUUGAACUCCCGCGAGGAUAGUCUUGACCUCGCACGAACUCACUCCUAGCCCAACCCAACAAGUUACUUAAAUGUGCUUUCAUUUUUUUAAGAGGCCCAACGGUCUCACCUUAUAUAACCUUCGCAGGGCUCGCCCUAAGGCCACUUCUCUUUUUUAGGUUCUUCUACACGUGCUCCCCGGUUGUACGUUGCUUCACUUCAGUCCAUCCUCGUCCCUCAUAAAGAAAAGGGGCAGGAUGCAACCGCAUCCCACCAACAAUAUUAUUUUACUUCUAAGAUGGAGAGGGUUAUUAGAGUAUGCCCUAAAGACAAAGAGUUGUCAGAUGAUUUAUAUUAAUUUGUACGUUAUAAUUGAUAGCGUACAAUUACACUAAAGGCAUUGCUCGACUCUAAUGGUACAAGUAUUUAAGUAUUAUCAAGGACUAAUCUAAACUGUUAGAGAUGAACACCGUGAAAUGUAAACACAAAUGUAAAAGAAAUUAUAAAGCGAGUUUGUAAUGAUGAGGUUCUCAUUACAUACAUUUCUAAACUUUGUACAUAGUCGAUGUUUGAUCAAGAAUUAGAUAUUUAUCGUUGGAUAUUGAUCAAAUGCUCGAGACUACCAUAAUGUGUCAUCACUUACUUAUGAAAUAAGAAAUCUGUCUCAUAAGGUUACGGAAUAGGAAUCCCGAGAUAAGCAUAUGGGUACUUGUUAUAAGAACAAGUUCAUUGAACGUGAUGGCACUGAAUAGUCCAUAUGGAAUUUAUCCCAAGUGCCUAUAGGCAAUCCUCUUGUGACAAUCAUGUAAGACGUGAUCCUUAGACUUGAAAUAACAGUGUAUUAUCUUAUAUGAGGAUUAUUAUACUUUGAUACUAUCUUAUGUUCUCCUAUCCAUGGAGCGCUCAAGGGACAGUCAUUGGGUAUAGUAAGAUUCAUACAAAGAUAAAUAAGUUAUCAAUAAAGAAUUCAUUGCCCAAUAAUAUGUCAUGGGACCUUAUCCUAAUGAUCCUUGAUAUGCUUUAACAUGGAAAUCCUUAGCCAUAGUUGUUUGAAUAAAGAUUAUGAAAAGUGUUUCAUAGAUCUUGUUCAAGAUGUUAUAUGCAAUUAUCAAAA
rnacentral:lncRNA from 1 species